rnacentral:rRNA from 2 species
UUGUACGACGAAACUGCGAAUGGCUCAUUAAAUCAGUUAUCGUUUAUUUGAUAGUACCUUACUACUUGGAUACCUGUGGUAAUUCUAGAGCUAAUACAUGCUAAAAAUCCCGACUCACGAAGGGAUGUAUUUAUUAGAUUAAAAACCAAUGCCCUCCGGGGCUCUUUGGUGAUUCAUAAUAACUUUUCGAAUCGCAUGGCCUUGCGCCGGCGAUGGUUCAUUCAAAUUUCUGCCCUAUCAACUUUCGAUGGCAGGGUCUUGGCCCGCCAUGGUGACAACGGGUAACGGAGGGUUAGGGCUCGACCCCGGAGAAGGAGCCUGAGAAACGGCUACUACAUCCAAGGAAGGCAGCAGGCGCGCAAAUUACCCAAUCCCGACCCGGGGAGGUAGUGACAAUAAAUACUGAUACAGGGCUCUUUUGGGUCUUGUAAUUGGAAUGAGUACAAUUUAAAUCCCUUAACGAGGAACAAUUGGAGGGCAAGUCUGGUGCCAGCAGCCGCGGUAAUUCCAGCUCCAAUAGCGUAUAUUAAAGUUGUUGCAGUUAAAAAGCUCGUAGUUGAACCUUGGGCCUGGCUGGCCGGUCCGCCUCACCGCGUGCACUGGUUCGGCCGGGCCUUUCCCUCUGGGGAGCCGCAUGCCCUUCACUGGGUGUGUCGGGGAACCAGGACUUUUACUGUGAAAAAAUUAGAGUGUUCAAAGCAGGCCUAUGCUCGAAUACAUUAGCAUGGAAUAAUAGAAUAGGACGUGUGGUUCUAUUUUGUUGGUUUCUAGGACCGCCGUAAUGAUUAAUAGGGACAGUCGGGGGCAUCAGUAUUCAGUUGUCAGAGGUGAAAUUCUUGGAUCUACUGAAGACUAACUACUGCGAAAGCAUUUGCCAAGGAUGUUUUCAUUAAUCAGGAACGAAAGUUAGGGGAUCGAAGACGAUCAGAUACCGUCGUAGUCUUAACCAUAAACUAUGCCGACUAGGGAUCGGGCGAUGUUAUUAUUUGACUCGCUCGGCACCUUACGAGAAAUCAAAGUC